rnacentral:rRNA from 1 species
UACGUAGGGAGCAAGCGUUGUUCGGAUUUACUGGGCGUAAAGCGUGCGCAGGCGGCUUCGCAAGUCAGACGUGAAAUCCCCGGGCUUAACCUGGGAAUGGCGUUUGAAACUACGGAGCUGGAGUGUGGCAGAGGGAGGUAGAAUUCCACGUGUAGCGGUGAAAUGCGUAGAUAUGUGGAGGAAUACCGAUGGCGAAGGCAGCCUCCUGGGCCAACACUGACGCUCAUGCACGAAAGCGUGGGGAGCAAACAGG